rnacentral:lncRNA from 1 species
AGAGAAAACAAAUGCAAUGUCUCUGGGCAAAGUUGUAUUCAUCACUCAGGGGGAUUCCAAGUGAUGGAAAUUUUUUUAGUAUAUUUCAUUCUACCAAAAAAAAAGAAAAUAUUCUGUUAAAGAAUCCUGCAUCAUGAAGAAAUUGCACUCAACUGCAUUGACUGGUGAUGUAAUAAUUCAUUCAAGGUCACUGUGAAAUAAGCCAAGCAAAAUAUAUUUAUUAUGAUUAAUAUAAUGGAGCCACUAUUCAUUCAUUACAUGACAUUAAAUUAUUAACUACAUUAAAAUAAAAUCUUGUAAUAAGCAUAGACUAUUAUUGACAUUAGAUGCCUAUUACUUGAUUUCAGGUGCUAAAUGGAUAAAUUAUUCUAUAUUUUACAUAUUGACCUAGUAUAUAUUCACUUUGACUACGCAUAUUGGAUGAUGUGAUGUGUUUUUGAAAAAAUUUUAGAGUGUUUAUCACGUGCCAUGCAUUUGAGAAAGUUAAAUAAUUCUUGUUUAAGUAUUUCAGUGUUAGGGAUACAAGAGGGACAAAACAGACAAAAAUUCAUGCCCUUAUGGAGCUUACAUUACAGUCAUUCAUACUUUUGUUUGAAUGAUGUCCUUUUAAAUUUUAUUCUGUGAUCUCUUAUGUGACCAUAACUCCCCAUCCAUCAGUGGUGAGAUUCUAUUCAUUGCUAUUGUUGGACUAUGUUGUAAUGUGUAAGUCAUAAGCAGCUUUCCAUGGAUAGAAUUUAAGAAUGAUAUCUUAAAUUUUAGAACAUCAGUUACAGAGCAACAACACUGCUGUUCAAAAACACUUGUCUCCAGCUAUUUCAUUAUACCUUCUGAUGUGGCUUCACAUCUAAGAGGACAAAAUAGCUUCAUCUUUGUCUGAGGAAUGCCAAGGGGAUGGAAAUAUGAAAAUGCCACCAGAUGCUGUCCACCUGUGAGCAAACAGGGGCACAUAAGGCCAUCAGGGUCCUGGUUCCUCCCCCUCACCUUUUCAGAGAAAAAUCUCAUCAGCAGUGUUUUUCUUGAGAUUCCUAUGUCAAAGACCUACCUGAAACACCUCCAGAUAGUCUCGUAUUCCAGUGCUAACUGCCGCCUGCUCUUCCUCUAGCCAUUAUAUUUUCUUUCUAAAGGUCUGGAUGGGAAGGAGGGUUGCAGAACAUUGGGGAGAGAGAAAGAGAAAAUCUUGUCUUUACAUCUAUGUGGUUAAUUUUUCUAUGCAGGAGCAAAACAGCACUUAAAUUUUUUUGUCUGUGAAACCCUGGCUUGUGCAAAUUUCUAACUAGCUUCCUGCUCAUUGUAUGUCUUAGUUUCUUGUGAUAGGAAACUACCUGGUAGCA